ACAACCGAGGUGCAAGGGCUGUCGCUGACCGUCAAAGGUCGUGCACGCCCGAGCGCUCUCACACAAUCCAUCUCACCUUUGUGCAUCACCGCGUGGGUCCCCUUUCCGGGAGGGCUUGCGUUUUCACAUAAAAACUCGAUACAGUGUAGAAUGUUUCUUUUGCGGUCACACGCAAUCAAUACAACUUUCAACAACGGAUCUCUUGGCUCUCGCAUCGAUGAAGAACGCAGCGAAAUGCGAUACGUAAUGUGAAUUGCAGAAUUCAGUGAAUCAUCGAAUCUUUGAACGCACCUUGCGCCCCUUGGCAUUCCGAGGGGCACACCCGUUUGAGUGUCGUGAAAUCUUCAAAACCCUUUCUUUGAUCCAUUUCGGUCGGGAAAAGGAUUUUUGGACUUGGAGGUUCAAUGCUCGCCCUUUCUUUUGAAAGCGAGCUCCUCUUAAAUGAAUCAGUGGGGUCCGCUUUGCUGAUCCUUGACGUGAUAAGAUGUUUCUACGUUUUGGGUUUAGCACUGUCCCUUGGACGCCUGCUCCUAACCGUCUCACCGACAACGAUGGUGCUCUGGUCACCGCCGUCUACAUCGGCGGGAGGCUGGANCCACAAAAAGAAAACCUUGA
rnacentral:rRNA from 1 species